rnacentral:lncRNA from 1 species
GGGCCUGGGCACCAGAGGCCACGACAGGCGGCCACCGCCCCAGGCCACUAAGGACCCUGAACCUGGAGGUCAGAGUCAGGACGUGAGGGUCAGGGAACACGCACUUGCAUCCCCGCCCCCUGUUCACGGCCGUGUGGCCUGGAGCCCCGUCACCAGCUCCCUCCCUGGACGGGGGACAGGCCUCACGCAGGGAUCACUGUGCAUCUGGGCUCCUUGAUCCGAAGCACCCAGACCCGGGCCCGCCCUCAGUGGCGCAUCGCUCUCCUGGGGAAAACAGGCAAAAAUAAACAGACUGAAAAGGAAGUAGGCGCAAACCCAGUGCGGGGCGGUGGGAGGUGAUGAAUCUCGCCUCUCCCGGUCUGGAGUUAAUGAGGAGCCUGAGUCAGGAGGCAGAUGGGACCGACCCAUCCGCUGUGCUGCUGGAAAUGAGAAGCUGCUGGAGACGUUCUGACUCAGAACCAGAUGGCCCCUGCUCCGUCCCCUGCAUUCAAGAUGGAAGUGAAGGACCUUGAGAUGAGACGCCCUGGAUGCAGGUGAGACUCAGCACCAGUGAUAAGUGUCCUUGUGGAAAGAGGGAAGGCCCCAUGAAAGCAGAGUCAGGGACGGCAGCUACAGGCGGCUCUGAGCCCCCGUUCCCAGCGGUUUGUUGCAGCAGCUUCGGAUGCUCCAUGGAUACCAAGGCACGCGAGGGAAGCAAACCUACCAGCACAGUCGAACUUGCCUCGGCGCCAACACAGCUUAACCUUCAGGGCCCCUCACUUGCGAAGACCCCCUUCUGCAGCCCAGUUCCUGUUUGCGUAUUCCUUUUGUCAAAGGGGCCCCCUCCGCAGAUGGGGAAAGUAUUGGGUCCCACACACUCUGGCUCCCUCCCUGUUGCCACCAGGGUACAGCACACAGCCUGCAGUAUAGACGCUUCCGUGGGUUUUCUGUCAUCUGAACAUCCACCCAGCCAGUCCUCCGUGUCUUCAGCCAAGCUGGAUUAUCGAGUCCCUGCUGUCUCGGGAUGUAACUUGGAAAGAGAACCAGAGACAAUUUGGAGGCAAAGUAAAUGGGCUGCAGCAAGAUGCGCAUGAAGAAAGAGAGAGGCUGAAAGGGGAACCUGAGCAGAGAGUGGUUGUUCUACCUGGAAAUCAUGACAGCCCCACCAAGGAGAUAACCUCCAGUCUGGGCUUUUAAGGAUGGGUAGGAGUUCGCCAGGAGACAAGGGGGAGGACAGCUUAGGUCGGGGGCACUGUGCGGGCAAAGGUGUGGGACAGCCCCUGGCCCUGGGGCAGCAGUGUGCGACAGCCUGCCUGGCCCAUGGGGCCUGCAGGAUGAAGAGAGAGGGAAGGGCCGGGGCUGGGCCUGGAGUCCUGGGGCAGGGAGAAGUAACAGGUGUGAGGUCCGCAAACGUGGCAGCUUAAUAUGAGAAGAAUCUCCUUCCUCUGAAGGCUGGGGCAGGGCGUGGGGGUGAGGUGUUUCCAGGCCCCUUCCAGCUGCUGGCUGUUGUGGCAGUUCCAUUGUCCAGCCCCUUGCAGCUGCACCCUCCAGUCUCUGCCUCCCUCAUUACAGGACCUUCUCCCUGUGUCUCUCUGGGUCCCUUCGCCUUUUUUUUUUUUCCAGCUGCACCCACAUCAGGCAGAAGUUCCCAAGCCAGGGGUCGAAUGCGCUCCACAUCUGUAAGUAACCAGAGCCACUGCAGUGACAACGCCAGAUCCUUAACCCACUGGGCCACCAGGGAACUCCCCUUCUCCUCUUCUUAUGAGGACACCAGCCAUAGUAGAGACGUUACUAAUCAGGUAAUUCAAUUACAUCUGCAAGGACACCAGAGUAUUUCCAAGUAAGGUCACGUACACAGGGGCCUGGGCUCAGGGCUUCAAUGACCUUUCUGGGGACACAGUUCAACCCACAACAGGGAGGAGGAACCACAGGACUUGGUACUGAUUAGAUGGACCUUAUGGCCUGAAUGGUCUACACGGCCUCCCUCCCACGGCACAUGUUGAAAUCCUGAUAGCCUUGUGACCGCGUCGGAGACAGGGCCUUUAGGAGGUGAGGACCGCGGCUGUCUGCAAGCCAGGAAGAGAGCUCUCAGCAGAAACCUCGUGCUGCCAAAACCUUGAUGUUCCAGCCUCCAGAACCAUGAGAAGAAAGUUUCUGUCCUUAAGCCCCCAGUGUGCGGCAUUUUAUCACGGCAGGCUGAGCUAAGACAAUGGGGUUGGGGCUGGAUGAGCAGGCAGCAGAGCGGAACUGAGGAGGAAUUCCCCAGGCUUGGAGGAAGCUCUGACCCACAGGUGCUGGGUCCCGAUGGCCCGGCCAGGAGCUGAGGUUUUAGGGAGGAACUGGACUCGGCCCAAGGCUUCCAGGAGCUGCAGGUCAGGCAGGGAGUCAGGAAGGGGCCCAGGCCUGCCAGGUACAAUGAUGCAGGUGGUGGCUCAGGGACAAGGGGCCAGGACAAUCGAAGCGGCCCCAAGGGGCAGGGAGGCCCCAGGAAGGGGCCAUCAGAACAGUCAAGAACCCGGUCGUUGGCACUUCCUCCGGCCUAACUACUCAGCGUUGUCUCUGCAGCAGCUCUGGAUCAGUCCCUGGCCUUGGAACUUCCACAUGUCGAGGGUGCAGCCAAACACUUUAAAAAAAGAACUCUUGCCUGCUCUGACUGAUGGCUCCCAGGCCAGGGAUCAGAUACGAGCUGCAGCUGCAACCUGCGCUGCAGCUGCAGCAACGCUGGAUCCUUCAACCCACCAUUCAUUCUUAUGCCGCUUAAAUGUCACCUCCACUACGUGCAGAAGCUCGAUGGACUUGAGCACAUAGAUCGGGCAACAUUUGGGGGGUUUGGCCUCACAGAUGGUCGGCUCUCUGGGUUGGCAAGUUCCUGCCUGGCUUCCUUUGCUGUUGUCACGGAGUUGCCGUUGCCAUGGCGUCUGUGUGUGCACGGGGGACCAUCGCGCAUCUCCUCAGCUUCGGGAGCACGCAUCCAGAGCCUGGGAAGACUGCGGAGAGAGAAGAAGGAGGCGUGGCGUGUGGGAGGGAGUCCACCUGGGCGCCUAGUGUUGACGGAGCCGAGAAAAGAGGGGUGGUACUGUGCCGCCCCUGAACCAGAAGAGAGGGAUGGAGGCAGAGGUGCCUGCAGGGCCUGCCGGGCCCUCAGCUGUAGAGGCCCGGGGAGGGGGGGUCAACCGAGGGUCUUCUAUCUGGCCUUCUGCUGCCCCUCCUUCGCAACCACUUCCUGCCACUGUCCCAAAGUCACGGCAAAUGCAGCCCAGGAGUGAAAUACUGCCGAUUUAACCUGUGCCUCUGAUAAAUAAAUGAACAAGUGU